rnacentral:rRNA from 1 species
CUACUCGACUCCUACGGGAGGCAGCAGUGGGGAAUAUUGCGCAAUGGGGGAAACCCUGACGCAGCAACGCCGCGUGAGUGAAGAAGGCCUUAGGGUUGUAAAGCUCUGUCAUAUGGGAAGAUAAUGACGGUACCAUAAGAGGAAGCCACGGCUAACUACGUGCCAGCAGCCGCGGUAAUACGUAGGUGGCGAGCGUUGUCCGGAUUUACUGGGCGUAAAGGAUGCGUAGGCGGAUAUUUAAGUGGGAUGUGAAAUACCCGAGCUCAACUCGGGUGCUGCAUUCCAAACUGGAUAUCUAGAGUGUCGGAGAGGAAAGCGGAAUUCCUAGUGUAGCGGUGAAAUGCGUAGAGAUUAGGAAGAACACCAGUGGCGAAGGCGGCUUUCUGGACGAUAACUGACGCUGAGGCAUGAAAGCGUGGGGAGCAAACAGGAUUAGAUACCCUGGUAG